rnacentral:rRNA from 1 species
UACGUAGGCAGCGAGCGUUGUUCGGAAUUACUGGGCGUAAAGAGUGUGUAGGCGGUGCUCUAAGUUCGGUGUGAAAUCUCUCGGCUUAACUGGGAGGGUGCGCCGGAAACUGGAGUGCUCGAACGUGGGAGAGGAAAGCGGAAUUCCUGGUGUAGCGGUGAAAUGCGUAGAUAUCAGGAGGAACACCUGCGGUGUAGACGGCUUUCUGGACCAUUGUUGACGCUGAGACACGAGAGCGUGGGUAGCAAACAGG